rnacentral:rRNA from 1 species
UACGUAGGGGGCAAGCGUUGUCCGGAAUCAUUGGGCGUAAAGGGUGCGUAGGCGGUCUGACAAGUCUGAUGUGAAAUCUAUGGGCUCAACCCAUAGUCUGCAUCGGAAACUGUCGGGCUUGAGUAUGGGAGAGGUGAGUGGAAUUUCCGGUGUAGCGGUGAAAUGCGUAGAUAUUCGGAAGAACACCAGUGGCGAAGGCGACUCACUGGACAGGUAUUGACGCUGAGGUGCGAAAGCGUGGGGAGCAAACAGG